UGGGGGAAUAUUGCACAAAUGGGCGCAAGCCUGAUGCAGCCCAUGCCGCGUGUGUGAAGAAGGCCUUCGGGUUGUAAAGCACUUUCAGCGAGGAGGAAGGUGGUGAACUUAAUACGUUCAUCAAUUGACGUUACUCGCAGAAGAAGCACCGGCUAACUCCGUGCCAGCAGCCGCGGUAAUACGGAGGGUGCAAGCGUUAAUCGGAAUUACUGGGCGUAAAGCGCACGCAGGCGGUUUGUUAAGUCAGAUGUGAAAUCCCCGGGCUCAACCUGGGAACUGCAUUUGAAACUGGCAAGCUAGAGUCUCGUAGAGGGGGGUAGAAUUCCAGGUGUAGCGGUGAAAUGCGUAGAGAUCUGGAGGAAUACCGGUGGCGAAGGCGGCCCCCUGGACGAAGACUGACGCUCAGGUGCG
rnacentral:rRNA from 1 species